GAUGAACGCUGGCGGCGUGCCUAAUACAUGCAAGUCGAGCGAACAGACGAGGAUCUUGCUCCUCUGACGUUAGCGGCGGACGGGUGAUUAACACGUGGAUAACCUACCUAUAAGACUGGGAUAACUUCGGGAAACCGGAGCGAAUACCGGAUAAUAUAUUGAACCGCAUGGUUCAAUAGUUGAAGACGGUUGUGCUUUCACUUAUAGAUGGAUCCGCGCCGCAUUAGAUAGUUGGUAAGGUAACGGCUUACCAAGGCAACGACGCGUAGCCGACCUGAGAGGGUCAUCGGCCACCUGGGAACUGAGACAGGGCACACACUCCGACGGUGGGACGCAGUAGGGAAUCUUACGCAAUGGGGGAAAGCCUGACGGAGCACAGCCGCGGGAGUCAUGAAGCUCUUCGGAUCGUAAAACUCUGUUAUUAGGGAAGAACAAAUGUGUAAGUAACUAUGCACGUCUUGACGGUACCUAAUCAGAAAGCCACGGCUAACUACGUG
rnacentral:rRNA from 1 species